GAUAUCAAUGAAUGUAAUGUAACAAGACCUUGCAACCCUCAGGCACACUGCGUAAAUACAAUUGGUUCAUAUCACUGCGGUUGUCAGGCAGGCUAUUCUGGAAAUGGUCCCAAUUGCGUUGGUAAGUUCAGUAUUACGCAGUUUGUGCACCAUUAGCUUUUUUCAGGGUUUCUCUCGUCUGCUUUCAUACGUCGCGUGCGAACGUACGAAUUGAAAUCGUGAAAAUUUGAGCACGGACCAGAUUUUAUGUGAACGGAACCUCUUUUAUAUUUGGUAAUAUUCUUAUUAACAAUUAAAGAAAAGAAUGAACUACAUGUAUUAUGUUCAUGAGUGUUGGGUUCCAUUGUAGAUAGCCAAUGGUCCGGCUUCGAUUAUGCAGUGGAAAACUCGACAUAAUUUAAGUAUUUACGCAUGUUUCUAAAUAUUAUAAUGCUCUAUGUUAUACAGAUAUCAAUGAAUGUUUGCAAGCACCAUGUGAUCAAAAUGCUGGAUGUACCAACCAACCUGGCUCAUUUGACUGUUCAUGUAAUACUGGAUAUUCAGGAAGCGGAUUGAGUUGUUCUGGUAAGAAUUAUUAAACCAUUUUGA
rnacentral:lncRNA from 1 species